GGGGUUUCACCGUGUUAGCCAGGAUGGUCUCGAUCUCCUGACCUCGCGAUCCGCCCGCCUCGGCCUCCCAAAGUGCUGGGAUUACAGGCGUGAGCCACCGCGCCCGGCCUCAGCUGGUUUUUCAAAAGUCAUGGCGUGUAAUUGUCAGAACAGUGAACUUCGGAGAUCCACCGGAGGGGCGAGGCCACAGCUCAACCGCGAGCACCUGAGCAUCCUGCACCGCCUGCGACGGCCGUCAGGGGGCGCGAUGCCGCCUCACAGAACCUCAAGAGGCGCCCGGGUUCCGGCACAGAAGCCCGGCGGCUCCAGGGGGCGGAGCCGAGCCGCCUCCUCAGGACCUACGCAGGAGGCGCCGUCAUCCCUACAGGGACACCUGAGAGGACCCAGCCUCCUCCUCCUCAGGACCCACUCGGGAGACGCCGCUGGCUCUAUAGGAACACCUGGGGACCGUGGCCAGGGACCACCCAGCCUCCUUCUCCUCAGCUCCUCAGGAACGACUGGGGAAGCUGUGGCUUCAUGGUCCCCGAGGCUGCCCGAGGAAAGGUAUUUCAGGACAGCCAGGAGGGGGCGCACAUCCGCCGACAAACUGUGAGCAAGAGCGUCUGUGCUGAACCACGGAGCCACCAGAGGGCGCGCGAUCCCGCCCCAACGAACUUCCCGCGGAGGUGCCAGAAGCAGCGAGGAGCUUCAACUUCCUCAGGGCAGCACGAGGGUCGUGUUAACUUGGUGUUCUUCAUUGAGACGGGGUUUCACCGUGUUAGCCAGGAUGGUCUCGAUCUCCUGACCUCGCGAUCCGCCCGCCUCGGCCUCCCAAAGUGCUGGGAUUACAGGCGUGAGCCACCGCGCCCGGCCUCAGCUGGUUUUUCAAAAGUCAUGGCGUGUAAUUGUCAGAACAGUGAACUUCGGAGAUCCACCGGAGGGGCGAGGCCACAGCUCAACCGCGAGCACCUGAGCAUCCUGCACCGCCUGCGACGGCCGUCAGGGGGCGCGAUGCCGCCUCACAGAACCUCAAGAGGCGCCCGGGUUCCGGCACAGAAGCCCGGCGGCUCCAGGGGGCGGAGCCGAGCCGCCUCCUCAGGACCUACGCAGGAGGCGCCGUCAUCCCUACAGGGACACCCGAGAGGACCCAGCCUCCUCCUCCUCAGGACCCACUCGGGAGACGCCGCUGGCUCUAUAGGAACACCUGGGGACCGUGGCCAGGGACCACCCAGCCUCCUUCUCCUCAGCUCCUCAGGAACGACUGGGGAAGCUGUGGCUUCGUGGUCCCCGAGGCUGCCCGAGGAAAGGUAUUUCAGGACAGCCAGGAGGGGGCGCACAUCCGCCGACAAACUGUGAGCAAGAGCGUCUGUGCUGAACCACGGAGCCACCAGAGGGCGCGCGAUCCCGCCCCAACGAACUUCCCGCGGAGGUGCCAGAAGCAGCGAGGAGCUUCAACUUCCUCAGGGCAGCACGAGGGUCGUGUUAACUUGGUGUUCUUCAUCGGUCUCACACUGUCACCCAGCCUGGAGUACAGUGGCACAACCUCUGCUCACUGCAGCCUCCACCUGCCAGGCUCAAGCAAUUCUCCUGCCUCAGCCUCCCGAGUAGCUGGGAUUACAGGGUCUCCCUCUGUUGUCCAAGGCUGGAGGGUAGUACUGCUAUCGCAGCUGAUUGCAGCCUCAACCUUCCAGGCUGAAGCGAUCCUCCCAUCUCAACCUCCCACGUGGCUGAGACUACAGGUGCUUGCCACUAUGCCCAACUAAUAUUUGGAAUUUUCGUAUACGUGGAUUCCAGAGAGGUGACAGCGAAACGUGGGACCAUCCAGUUUCAGGAAAACAAGCUUAACACGCCCACUGAUUCUACAUUAUGCUCCUACCUCCCGGCAGCCUCGCCAGGCCCAGAACUCUCUCCAGUCAGCCUCUACAGACCAAGCUCAUGACUCACAAUGGCCUAUUUAGGCCCAUACCCUACCUCACGGCAGUCUCCGCAGAUGAGCCUACUGCCUCACAACAGCCUCCACAGGCACAGCUCCAUCGUUACAAUGGCCUCUUUAGACCCAGCUCCUGCCUCCCAGCCUUCUCUCCAGGCCCUGAACUUUCUCCGUGGGACCAUCCAGUUUCAGGAAAACAAGCUUAACACGCCCACUGAUUCUACAUUAUGCUCCUACCUCCCGGCAGCCUCGCCAGGCCCAGAACUCUCUCCAGUCAGCCUCUACAGACCAAGCUCAUGACUCACAAUGGCCUAUUUAGGCCCAUACCCUACCUCACGGCAGUCUCCGCAGAUGAGCCUACUGCCUCACAACAGCCUCCACAGGCACAGCUCCAUCGUUACAAUGGCCUCUUUAGACCCAGCUCCUGCCGCCCAGCCUUCUCUCCAGGCCCUGAACUUUCUCCGGUCUCCCUCUGUUGUCCGAGGCUGGAGGGUAGUAGUGCUAUCGCAGCUGACUGCAGCCUCAACCUUCCAGGCUGAAGCGAUCCUCCCAUCUCAACCUCCCACGUGGCUGAGACUACAGGUGCUUGCCACUAUGCCCAACUAAUAUUUGGUAUUUUCGUAUACGUGGAUUCCAGAGGAGUGACAGCGAAAUGUGGGACCAUCCAGUUUCAGGAAAACAAGCUUAACACGCCCACUGAUUCUACAUUAUGAUUCUUCAGGCCCAGCAUCUGCCUCACUGUGGACCCCCCAAGCCAAGCUCCCAACCUUUCAGCAGCUUCUACACACCCAGCUCCCGCCUGCCAGUGGCCUCUUCAGGCCCAUGGGGCUCAUUCCUCACAACAGCCUUUCCAGUCCCAGUUUUUCCCUUCCGGCGGCCUCUCCGGGCUGAGAACCUCCUCAAGUCGGCCUCUCCAGACUCACUUGCACCCUCCAGGCGUCCUCUCCGGGCCAAGCUCCUCUUCCUGGCUGCGUCUCCAGGCCCGACUCCUGCCUCUCAACAACCUCUUUGGACUCAGUGCCUACCCAUCUCCUGGCGUCCUUGGUCGGCCCACAGCUUCCUCAAGCCAAGCUCCCCAGGCCCAGGUCAGGCCUCACGGUGCCCCCUCCACGAUGAGCUCCUGCCCUCCAAUGGCACCUGCAGGACCCAAAUGGUCUCCGGUCGGUGGGCUCCUCCAUGCCAAGCUUGGGCCUCCCGGUGACCUCUGCAGGCCCAAGUUGUCCUGAAGUCGGCAUCUCCCAGCCAUGCCUCCCAGCAAGUAAGCAAGCUCUUUUGGCUCAACUCCUGCCCAGCUCCCAACCGCCUUUGUAGGUCCCGAACUUUCUCCAGCCAAGUUCUUUGGGCCUCAUUCCUGCCGCCCGGUGGCCUGUACGGGCCCAGCAAUGGUUGGAGAACGGCCUCUGCAGGUCCCGCUCUUGCCUCCCAGGGGCCUCUCCAGGCCCAGCUCUUGCCCCCACGGCGGCCACCUGGGGCCAAGUCCCUGCCUGCCUCCCAGCAGCCCGCAUGCGGCCCAGCUCCUCCCUCACGGUGGCCUGUUGAUGCCCAUGCCUCUGGUACCCUGCCCAGAGGCAUGAGCCCCUGCCACACACUGGCUCCUCCCACGCUGAGAGAGGUCAGCGUGAGCCCUUGCCUCACACCGGCCCCUCCCAUCCUGAGAGAGGUCAGCGUGAGCCCCUUGCCUGACCCUGGCUCCUCCCACGCUGAGAGAGGUCAGCGUGAGCCCUUGCCUCACACCGGCCCCUCCCAUGCUGAGAGAGGUUGGCGUGAGCCCUUGCCUCACACCGGCCCCUCCCACGGUGAGAGAGGUCAGCGUCAGCCCCUUGCCUCACACCGGCCCCUCCCACGGUGAGAGAGGUCGGCGUGAGCCCUUGCCUCACACCGGCCCCUCCCACGGUGAGAGAGGUCAGCGUCAGCCCCUUGCCUCACACCGGCCCCUCCCACGCUGAGAGAGGUCGCCGUGAGCCCUUGACUCACACCGGCCCCUCCCACGCUGAGAGAGGUCAACAUGAGCUCCUUGCCUCACACCGGCCCCUCCCACGCUGAGAGAGGUCGGCGUGAGCCCUUGCCUCACGCCGGCCCCUCCCACGCUGAGAGAGGUCAACAUGAGCCCCUUGCCUCAUACCGGCCCCUCCCACGCUGAGAGAUUUCAACAUGAGCCCCUUGCCUCACACCGGCCCCUCCCACGCUGAGAGAGGUCAACAUGAGCCCCUUGCCUCACACCGGCCCCUCCCACGCUGAGAGAGGUCAGCGUGAGCCCUUGCCUCACACCGGCCCCUCCCACGCUGAGAGAGGUCGGCAUGAGCCCCUUGCCUCACACAGGCCCCUCUCACUCUGACAGAGGUCAGCCUGAGCCCUUGUCUCACACCGGCCCCUCCCACGCUGAGAGGUCAGCGUGAGCCCUUGCCUCACACCGGCCCCUCCCACGCUGAGAGAGGUCAGCGUGAGCCCCUUGCCUCACCCCGGCCCCUCCCACGCUGAGAGAGGUCAGCGUGAGCCCUUGCCUCACACCGGCCCCUCCCACGCUGAGAGAGGUCGGCGUGAGCCCCUUGCCUCACCCCGGCCCCUCCCAUGCUGAGAGAGGUCGGCGUGAGCCCUUGCCUCACACCGGCCCCUCCCAUGCUGAGAGAGGUCGGCGUGAGCCCCUUGCCUCACACCGGCCCCUCCCACGCUGAGAGAGGUCGGCGUGAGCCCUUGCCUCACACCGGCCCCUCCCACGGUGAGAGAGGUCAGCGUCAGCCCCUUGCCUCACACCGGCCCCUCCCACGCUGAGAGAGGUCGGCGUGAGCCCUUGCCUCACACCGGCCCCUCCCACGGUGAGAGAGGUCAGCGUGAGCCCCUGCCUCAACAGGCCACCGUGAGGGAGGAGCAGGGUCGCACGCGGGCUGCUGUGAGGCAGGCAGCGACUUGGGCCUGGGAGGUCGUGGUGGGGUGAGAGCUGGGCUUGGAGACUCCCCUGGGAGGCAACAGCGGGGCCUACAGACUCUGUUCUCCAGCCGGAGCUGGGACUGUUCAGGUACUGGGAGGUGGGAUGUGGGUCUGAAGAGCUUGGUUGCAGAAACUUCGGGGUCUACAAACGCAGGCGGGAGCUGAGCCAAAAAAGCUUGUUUGCUGGGAGGCGGGAGAUGCAGCCAGGAGAAACAGCUGUGCCUGCAGAGGCCGCCAUGCGGGAGGCGGAGGCCGGGCCUCCUCAAAUCGGCCUCUCCAGACCCACUUGCAGCCUCCCGGCAUCCUCUCCGGGCCCAGCUCUUCCUCCCGGCUGCAUCUCCAGGCCUGAGUCUGGCCUCCCUACAACGUCUUUGGACUCAGCUCCUGCCCAGCUCCCAGCAGGCCCAAGUUGUCGUCAAGUCAGCCUGGAAUUGGGCCCGGAAGAGCAGCAAGUCGGCCUCCCCGGGCCCAGCUCCGUCCUCUCGGCGGCCUCUCCAGAUGCAAAACUUCCUCGAGUCAGCCUCUCCAGGCCCAGCUCCUCCUGCCUCCCAGUGGCCUCUUUCAGCCCAGACCAGCUCAUGGCUCUUGGCGGCCUUCCCAGGCCCCGCUUUUGACUUUUGGUGGCCUCUUCAGGCCCAGAACUUGACCUCCAGUGGGCCUUUGCAGGCCCGGCCUCCUGCCUCUCGAAGGCCUGCACGGGCCCGGACUCACAGCGGACUCACAGCGGACUCUCCAUGCCCAGCUAGCUCUCGCCUCAUUGCGGCCUCCCGAGUCCAAAGCUCCUGCCUCUCGGCCGCUUCGGCAGGCCCAGCUCCCGCCUGCCAGUGGCCUCUUUAGGCCCAGCUCGUUCCUCACAACGGCCUUCCCAGGCCCCGUUUUUCCCUUCUGGCAGCCUCUUGGCCUCUAAUUUGUUUAUCUUUUGUGUAUAAAUCCCAAAAUAUUGAAUUUUGGAAUAUUUCCACCAUUAUGUAAAUAUUUUGGUAGGUGAUUUAUUUGGGGUGAGUUUCUGCACCAAGCCUGAAUUUUUUAUUUUAUUUUCCUUAUUAUUUGGUGUUAAACAGGUUUAAUGACGGUCAUGGCAACUGUUUGGCACAAUGAAAAAUAUCACCCAUGAUCAAUGUGUUCUGUUCUGGGGAAGGGGGCAAAGGCAGGGUGAAUCACUUUCUUAAAAAGUAUAGCUCAAGUUGGGAGUGCAGAGGGAAUGGGGAUAAAACCCUCCCGCUGCCUGUGUCGAAGUGCAGGAGCCCCCACCCCCAUACUCACCUGAGUCCAGCCCCUCUGGGGAAAGAAGGGGUGCAUGAACUCCCCCUAGUCCACAGGCACCUCCCUGUGGCCCAAGGCCCUCUUCACACUCCAUCUUGUAGCCCCAACAGGAGCUAUUUUCCGAAAAGUGAAAAGCUCUGAAGGUCCCACAAUUCAUGGUAUGUACACCUCCCUCACCAGGGGCUGCAAAGUGGCCUGGAGCUCCAUACUGAGUAGAAGUCUUUGGGCCAGAGUCAGCAUCUGGCUGACGGUCCGGAUAUCCUGGUUGGAGUGACCCUGGUGUGCCCUGCCAGGGCCUGGUGCCGCUUGCUGAAGAUCAUGACCGCCACUCAUGGGCCACCGAUGUGGUCCUUGUCCCAUUUGUUGGGGCUGCGUCCAUCCUUCUCAGAAGAUGAGUCCUGUUCCUUGCGCAGGGCACUGAGGGACUGGGCCUGACAUCAUCUGAGUGGUAGAGGCAACUGGGUGUCAGGAGACAUGAUGGAGAGGAAAGCAUCAUCAUGGUCAUUCUCUGUCUCACUGUCAAGCAGGGACUCCCCUGAGGGGCCCAGGGCUCCUCCUCCAUGGUGGGAGGUGGGACCAUCCAGUUUCAGGAAAACAAGCUUAACACGCCCACUGAAUCUACAUUAUGCUCCUACCUCCUGGCAGCCUCGCCAGGCCCAGAACUCUCUCCAGUCAGCCUCUACAGACCAAGCUCAUGACUCACAAUGGCCUAUUUAGGCCCAUACCCUACCUCACGGCAGUCUCCGCAGAUGAGCCUACUGCCUCACAACAGCCUCCACAGGCACAGCUCCAUCUUUACAAUGGCCUCUUUAGACCCAGCUCCUGCCUCCCAGCCUUCUCUCCAGGCCCUGAACUUUCUCCGUGGGACCAUCCAGUUUCAGGAAAACAAGCUUAACACGCCCACUGAUUCUACAUUAUGCUCCUACCUCCCGGCAGCCUCGCCAGGCCCAGAACUCUCUCCAGUCAGCCUCUACAGACCAAGCUCAUGACUCACAAUGGCCUAUUGAGGCCCAUACCCUACCUCACGGCAGUCUCCGCAGAUGAGCCUACUGCCUCACAACAGCCUCCACAGGCACAGCUCCAUCGUUACAAUGGCCUCUUUAGACCCAGCUCCUGCCUCCCAGCCUUCUCUCCAGGCCCUGAACUUUCUCCGUGGGACCAUCCAGUUUCAGGAAAACAAGCUUAACACGCCCACUGAUUCUACAUUAUGCUCCUACCUCCCGGCAGCCUCGCCAGGCCCAGAACUCUCUCCAGUCAGCCUCUACAGACCAAGCUCAUGACUCACAAUGGCCUAUUGAGGCCCAUACCCUACCUCACGGCAGUCUCCGCAGAUGAGCCUACUGCCUCACAACAGCCUCCACAGGCACAGCUCCAUCGUUACAAUGGCCUCUUUAGACCCAGCUCCUGCCUCCCAGCCUUCUCUCCAGGCCCUGAACUUUCUCCGUAAGUUGAGGUAGCUGGGACUGUAGGUAUACAUGAUGAUACUUGGCUACUUUUUAAAUUGUUUUGCAGACAUGGGGUCUCACUUUGUUGGCCAGGCUGCUGUCAAACUAAUGGCCUCAAGUGACCCUUCCACCCCUGCCUCCCAUCCUCGAGGUAUGUGCCACCACAAGGGGCA